rnacentral:rRNA from 1 species
CCUACGGGAGGCAGCAGUGGGGGAUAUUGCACAAUGGGGGAAACCCUGAUGCAGCGACGCCGCGUGGGUGAAGAAGCGCCUCGGCGCGUAAAGCCCUGUCAGCAGGGAAGAAAAUGACGGUACCUGAAGAAGAAGCCCCGGCUAACUACGUGCCAGCAGCCGCGGUAAUACGGAGGGGGCAAGCGUUAUCCGGAUUUACUGGGUGUAAAGGGGGCGCAGACGGCGAUGCAGGCCAGGAGUGAAAGCCCGAGGCCCAACCCCGGGGCUGCUCUUGGAACUGCGUGGCUAGAGUGCAGGAGGGGCAGGCGGAAUGUGUGGUGUAGCGGUGAAAUGCGUAGAUAUCAGGCGGAACACCGGUGGCGAAGGCAGCCUGCUGGACCGCAACUGACGUUGAGGCCCGAAAGCGUGGGGAGCAAACAGGAUUAGAUACCCGAGUAGUC